CCCAGACAGUUGGUAAAUGAUGAGCUUCAAGGGCAGAUGACGGAAAGCUCACAGAGGGAGGUACAGGAAGUCCUGUAUGUGAGUGCCUGGAGGUGGAGUAGAUAGGCGGUCUGGAAAGUCCAGAGCAGCGGUUGAGCAGAAGCACAAGCCAGGACCAGAAGGACCUGCUCCUCUGUCUAAGAACUGGGGGGAGGAGAGGGCCACCGAAGAAGAAGUCCACGCCUCUGAGAGAAAAGAUGCUGUGAAGCCCCAGCUUCGGGAAGAUAUAUUUUCAUCGCAGUGAGGCCAAAAGGCUGUAGAUCGGCCUGGAGAAGCAGGUAUAGAGAGCCCAUAAGGAGAUACAACGGCAAGCCGAGGAUCAAGUCAGGAGAGACAGCAGAGCUGGCCGUCGCGCCCCAAACCUGUACAGGCGGUAGGACAAUGCAGAACAAGAGGAAGACAAGGUCAGCGGGAGUGCAUCUGGGAGGACAGCACUCGGUUGCGGUGGAUGUCCUACUAACCGGUUUCUGAAGAUGAAGGAAAACAUUUAACAAAUCCCUACAUGCCUCAUUCUCAGGAUGCCCUGUUCCUUAUCAGAUGUAUCCAGAUUUCUUCCGACGUACAGUAUACAAACCUCAGUGAUAAACACCAGAGGCCUGGAAAGAACUAAAUGGCCUGGGGUUGCCUUGUUCUAAUGCAUCAUGAGGUGGCCCAGAGAGAUGACCUUAGCACUCCCCUGUGUGAUGGCAAAACCUCCACUGAUUAUGAACCUAAUGAAGUGAACCCUGGGUCCCCCAACCGGGGGGCAUAGUCUGCUAGACUACUUCUGGAGAUGCCAGGCCAGGACAGGGAUGGCGGGAGGAAACGGUGCCCAGCACUGAUAAGCCACGCCCUUCCUUUGUCCCAGGCACACUUCAAUGUCUGCUAUGUCUUUGCACUGGGAAUCCUCAGGGGAGAGACAGAGAACAGACAGACAGACAGGGUGGAGGGGCCACUUCCUGGUGCCAAGGAGCCUCUUAACCCUUCCCCACCUUUCUUCACUUCCCCUCGCUGGGGAACCAUCGGCACUAUAAAGAAACCUCAGCUAUAACAAUAAACUGCAUAUAUGUGAUAGAUGUGCACAUAUAAUAUAAAAUAUGUGUGAAUGUAGCCAUCUGGUUUACAGUCUGGCCUGUGUCUUCUCAAAGCCACAUAGUAUUGUAUUUAUCCCCUCCCUUGUUGAUGGACACUGAAGUUGUUCCUGAGUUUUUGCUAUUGCAAACGAGUAUCUAGACACUGUGCGCAUGUGUGAAUGUUUCUUGAGGAUUCAUUCCUAGAGAAGAGAUUCCUGGCUCAAAAUGCCCAUGAAUUUUUCAUUUUGAAAAAUUGUGCCAAGUUAGAGUGGAGACCUUUUCCCUGUGAAGGAGCCUUCUCUCUCUAGGGCUUAACCAGAGAUGAAAGAUACCUAGGCCAGAAAGAUUGCAGGGUUUCCAUUGGGCAAGGGCAUGUUCAAGUCCUGGCUCUGCCACCUUCCUGUGUGACUUUGAUUAAAUCACUUAAUCUCUGUCCAUCCGUCUGUCUGUCCGUCCGUCUGUCUGUUCUCUCCUCCUCUUCCCUCCCUCCCUUUCCCUCACCCUCCCUU